AAUACGUUCCCGGGCCUUGUACACACCGCCCGUCACACCACGAAAGUUGGUAACACCCGAAGCCGGUGGCCCAACCCUUUGGGGGGGAGCCGUCGAAGGUGGGAUCAGCGAUUGGGGUG
rnacentral:rRNA from 1 species